rnacentral:rRNA from 1 species
UACAGAGGGCUCAAGCGUUGUUCGGAUUCAUUGGGCGUAAAGGGUGCGUAGGCGGCGCGGUAAGUCGGGUGUGAAAUCUUGGAGCUUAACUCCGAAACUGCAUUCGAUACUGCCGUGCUUGAGGACUGGAGAGGAGACUGGAAUUUACGGUGUAGCGGUGAAAUGCGUAGAUAUCGUAAGGAAGACCAGUGGCGAAGGCGGGUCUCUGGACAGUUCCUGACGCUGAGGCACGAAAGUCAGGGGAGCAAACGGG